rnacentral:tRNA from 1 species
GCAAGGGUGGUCGAGUGGUCAAAGGCACCAGGCUGUAAACCUGGCGGGAUUCAUUUCCCUACGUAGGUUCGAAUCCUACCCCUUGCACCA